rnacentral:rRNA from 1 species
CCCCUAGAUGUUCUGGGCCGUACGCGCGCUACACUGAACAGUUCAACAAGUCUUAACCUUGGCCGAUAGGUCUGGGUAAUCUUUGAACGCUGUUCGUGAUUGGGAUAGACCUUUGCAAUUAUGGGUCUUCAACGAGGAAUUCCUAGUAAACGCAAGUCAUCAGCUUGCAUUGAUUACGUCCCUGCCCUUUGUACACACCGCCCGUCGCACCUACCGAUUGAAUGGUCCGGUGAAAUCUCGGGACGGCGGCUUGGUCGCUUGCGUCCGACUGCUGAAACUUGAUUAAACCAUAUCAUUUAGAGGAAGGUGAAGUCGUANCA